AAUGGCCUUCUCAUGUUUCUUCUAAUUUCUUCUUGUUUGCAUUCAGGUAAUUGAAUUAAGGCCGCGUUUGGGUGUGUGUUUGCGCAACGGAGAAACGAAGGAGACAAUGGUUAGAGAGAGGCAUUUAUAUUUGGAAGUGGAAUCAGCAAAAGCUAAUGGGACUGUUGCAUUGGACCCCACGUAUCACAAGCGUCAGUUUUCUAUAUUCUUUUGCAUUCUUUAUUAGUCUAAUCUCUAAUGCAAUUUUUUUUUUUUUUAAAUAGUUUUUAAUUGUAAUUUCUGGAAAUGUAUUUCGUACGGUUUAGCGUGUUUGACCGUGUUGUAUUGCGUUGGGUCCCUGUUAUUAAUUAAGAUUUCAGGUUAAUAUAUAUUAUAAAUAGGGGGUAGUGAAAAUGAUUGUAGUAGACUAAUGGUUGAUUAGUGUUAAUAAGGGGGGAGAUGAGGAAGGCGUUGGAGUUGCAGAUUUAGAAGCGACUGGUCAAAUGGAGUAAUUAAUAGUCACUGACUCACUGAGGGACAGGUGUUGUGCCGGGUUAUGGAAUGUGAGGGUGCUACACCGAAUCGUGGAAAGGAAGAAAUCGGACUCUCCGAGUUCUUUGUUUUGAAAAUUUUGUAAGCAAAUCGAGGGUCCGUUUUGCUUGUAUACAAAAUUCACAUAAGAGAAAUCGGACUGUGCGAUAUGUCUUCAUCAAAACGGAAGGAAAUCGGAGGGUCCGAGUUCCCAUCAGCAACUCGCAAGGUCCGAUUACCGUGUUCCUGACAAGACAGCCCGAUAAAGCUCCCCUCCUCUCCAUAUCUGUGUCCUACACUAACGAUGCCUCCAUAAUAAAAUUAAUUUGCGUCAGGGCGGUCUGAAAAAAGAAAAAUUGACUAAAAAUUAAAAUUUAAACUAGUGUGCUAAGUUACGCAGUUACGCUAACACCAAGCUCAACACAUAAAAUAGAUCAGAAUUUGUUUCUAAACGAAAGCGGCCAUGUGAACUCGCUUUCUAUUUUGAUUUCAAUUGCUUUUACUUAUCGUUUUCUCAAAAUAAAGCUAUCAAAACAGUGAAACACAAUAUAUGA